CUAGUUUCCUUAGUACUUGUGCUUCCGUGUCAAUACCGUGUGCUGUAAACUGCUGAACGAACUGAGAUACUCAUUCAGUUUUGGUCGCCUCUCCAUUAUCUCGUGGUGACGUAAAGGUGACGGCCCGUGUGUUAGUCUCCCCGGUAAUUGUGCCUCCGUAACAUUACUGUGUGCAGUGGUCGUGAGAACUGCGAGGCGGCGGUGUAGACUGUGCCGUGGAGAGCCGCGGGGUGUUGGAAUCGCCUCUCAGUCACCUUGAAGGCGUCAUAUUCCCUCCCUGCUCUUCCCCGUGUCUUCCUGUCGAUGUUGAGAUGGCAGGCCUAAUAAUGACCUGUAGCACAAAGGAACCAGCAGGUGAACCAGCAGCUGUACAAGUGAAACAACUUAGUACAGUAUUAUGAGUGCGGCUCUGUUCUGAGUGACAAUUACCUCAGCACAGCCUCGACCAAUCAGCACCAAGUAUUCAAGUCACGUGAUACUCUCUCGCCGUCUCCUCAGCCAUUCGCCCUGCGCCCGCUGACGUGAUGUGAUGGGUCUCCGGUUGUGUUACAGCGAGGAGAUAAUUGGUGGGCUGUGUGUGGUGAGUGCCACAUUGUCUGUGAGGGACCCCCAGAGCCACACAGCACCAGCUGCAACAGCUACAGCAGCAGCAGCAGCAGCAGCAGCAGCAGCAGCAGGAGGAGGAAAUGGCAUCCACCUUCUACCUCACCCAGUGUCACCGGGGCCUCCUCCUCCUCCAGCAGCUGGCCAGGGUGCAGGGACAGGAUGAGCAAGCAGGUGGUGACAGAGAGGGUGGCCAGCUUGUCCCUCCCUCCUGCCACCCAGCCACAGCACUGGCAGUUGCUGCAGUGAGACUGCCCAGGCACAAGUUUGUGCACGUGUCCAGGACGUGAAGGUGAUGGGAACGUGUCCUGUAGGAGGGAGCAGAGCUGUAACAGUACCCGAGUCUGCUGCUGUGCUGGGAGAAGGAGAAAAACAUCAGCAGUAGUUAGUAGUGGUAGUAGAAGUAUUCAGCAGUGGUGGGGCUCUGCUGCUGCUGCUGCUGUCAGUGGUGCAGCUGUUCACUCCUCCACAGCUGCUGCCUUCCCUCAACAUACUGUGUCUUCCCUCACCUACAAUGAACAACUAUGAACAAUACCUCUCGUGCAAUCAGGCAGCGCUCAGCUGUACUCACCGAUAGACUGACCACUAAGAAUUACCUGUGGGCCACAUGACAAGGCCCACGCCAGCCAGGCUUGGUUGCCAAUCAAUAACAACAACAACAACAACAACAUCUCAUGCAAUGAAGAACACUGAAUAACAACAACACCUCUCCCCUGCAUCAUCAACAAUCAACAACAUCUUAGUUUCACUGAUGCUGCCCCCCCCCCCCUCUCUCUCUCUCUCUCUCUCUCUCUCUCUCUCUCUCUCUCUCUCUCUCUCUCUCUCCUCACCUCAGGCCACAGCGCCACAGUAUGUCCCCCCACAGUAUGUUUACAAACCCACAGUGACUCCCCACAGCCCCUCACCAAUAAGUGACCCCCUCACACACACACACACACACACACACACACACACACACGCUGCAUCUUGUACAAUGGCCACAAUAAAGAAUGGACACACAAAAUGGACAAA